GACGAACGCUGGCGGCGUGCUUAACACAUGCAAGUCGAACGGAAAGGCCCUGCUUUUGUGGGGUGCUCGAGUGGCGAACGGGUGAGUAACACGUGAGUAACCUGCCCUUGACUUUGGGAUAACUUCAGGAAACUGGGGCUAAUACCGGAUAGGAGCUCCUGCUGCAUGGUGGGGGUUGGAAAGUUUCGGCGGUUGGGGAUGGACUCGCGGCUUAUCAGCUUGUUGGUGGGGUAGUGGCUUACCAAGGCUUUGACGGGUAGCCGGCCUGAGAGGGUGACCGUCCACAUUGGGACUGAGAUACGGCCCAGACUCCUACGGGAGGCAGCAGUGGGGAAUAUUGCACUAUGGGCGGAAGCCUGAUGCAGCAACGCCGCGUGCGGGAUGACGGCCUUCGGGUUGUAAACCGCUUUCGCCUGUGACGAAGCGUGAGUGACGGUAAUGGGUAAAGAAGCACCGGCUAACUACGUG
rnacentral:rRNA from 1 species